AUGAACGCUAGCUACAGGCUUAACACAUGCAAGUCGAGGGGCAGCAUGUUGGUUGCUUGCAACCAAUGAUGGCGACCGGCGCACGGGUGAGUAACGCGUAUCCAACCUACCCUUGUCCAUCGGAUAACCCGUCGAAAGGCGGCCUAACACGAUAUGCGGUUCACCGCAGGCAUCUAACGUGAACGAAAUGUGAAGGAGAAGGAUGGGGAUGCGUCUGAUUAGCUUGUUGGCGGGGUAACGGCCCACCAAGGCUACGAUCAGUAGGGGUUCUGAGAGGAAGGUCCCCCACAUUGGAACUGAGACACGGUCCAAACUCCUACGGGAGGCAGCAGUGAGGAAUAUUGGUCAAUGGACGAGAGUCUGAACCAGCCAAGUAGCGUGCAGGAUGACGGCCCUAUGGGUUGUAAACUGCUUUUAUAGGGGGAUAAAGUGUGUCACGUGUGGCAUAUUGCAGGUACCCUAUGAAUAAGGACCGGCUAAUUCCGUGCCAGCAGCCGCGGUAAUACGGAAGGUCCGGGCGUUAUCCGGAUUUAUUGGGUUUAAAGGGAGCGUAGCCGUUUGGUAAGCGUGUUGUGAAAUGUCGGGGCUCAACCUGGGCAUUGCAGCGCGAACUGCCAGACUUGAGUGCGCAGGAAGUAGGCGGAAUUCGUCGUGUAGCGGUGAAAUGCUUAGAUAUGACGAAGAACUCCGAUUGCGAAGGCAGCCUGCUGUAGCGCAACUGACGCUGAAGCUCGAAAGCGUGGGUAUCGAACAGGAUUAGAUACCCUGGUAGUCCACGCGGUAAACGAUGGAUGCUCGCUGUUUGCGUCUGACGUAAGCGGCCAAGCGAAAGCGUUAAGCAUCCCACCUGGGGAGUACGCCGGCAACGGUGAAACUCAAAUGAAUUGACGG
rnacentral:rRNA from 1 species